rnacentral:tRNA from 1 species
GGUGUAUAGCUCAGUUGGUAGAAUGUUUGCCUUGCAUGCACAAAGCCCUGGGUUCAAACCCUAGCACCA